CUUUGGGGCUGUCCGCUUUGCUGCUGCCAGAGGGAGUCUGGUGUUUGCGGAGCAGGUGGGGUUGGGAACCGGGUGGGACUUAGCUUUAGAAUUUCCUCUGGCGACCCAGUCUUUCCUCAGGCUUCCUGGAGGGAGCAUCUCCUUCGGGGAUAUUAGUAGCAGCGUUUUAGGCUGGAAGAAAGUCAAGAGACCAGUAAACUAUGGUAUAUCCACACAAUGGAGUAUGAUGCAGCCACAACAGACAGUGAAGAAGACCUCUGUGACCUGAUAUGAAGUGACUUACAGGAUGUACUCUUAAGUGAAAAAAAGCAAGAAAAUCCCUCCUUGGGGCACUUCAGUCCCCUUGGAGCACUGUGAUACCUGGAGGUGAUAGAGGGAAGCUGCAAAAUUUUAUCUGAGAUGGUGAUGAAGCAGACUGAAAGUAUAUCUUUGCUCUUUGCUUCUCUUGCAGGUAGGUAUAGACAAAAGACUAAGUUCUGGGUAACAUAACAGAAGUGGACUUCCAGGAAGGCUCCUUGCAGGAGCAGAUACAACUGGGAGAUGCUUCCUUUUUGCCUUUUCUACUGCCUGAAAUGAGGAUGUGAUGACAGGGGUUAUG